GUGGGAAAGAAGGAGCAACCCGCUUCUCACCUGUUGACGCAUAUGUGUAGUUAUCAGGUUUUGAAAUUCAUAGCAUUCACGACUAUUUAUACGAAUGUAGUGCGGGUUCUCAUGACUCGCGCUUUUUUAGUUUU
rfam:Bacillus ginsengihumi strain M2.11 NODE_62, whole genome shotgun sequence.